ACGACUUUGUACACAUGAAGUCACAGUAAACUGUGAAAUAUACUUAACAUUUUAAAUUGCUAGUUUAUCAUGUAAAAUGCCUCAUUCUAAUUUAGAAUACUUUCAAGAACCAGAGAAAAAAUACCGGUAUCGCUUCACUGGGGGACCUCUGGGAGAACACACCACGCUGUAUAAAUUCUCUCAGGAGGAAUCUUGUUGGAAAACGCAAAGAAAAAGAAACAUGAAAAAAAUAUAGAAAAAAGAUUUCCUUCCCUA